AAUUUAAUUAGUUAAAGUGUUAAUUAAUUAAAGGGUGAUUAUGAACCUAAGCCUACGAUAAUUGAGCUAUGUGAUAGGCCGUUUCAAAUUUGUUUGAACCAUGGGAAUGUGUAGAUUAGAUUUUGGUUGUAAUUUGAUUUGAUCAAAUGUUGUAAAAGAGCAUAAGCUCUUCUUUACUUUAAAGUAAUUUGUAUUAUGCAAAUGUUGUAAUGAGCAUAAGCUCACCUUUACUUUGAAGUACUUCUUUCUUGCUUUAUAUGAUAUGCAUGAAAAUGAAGUAGUUGGGUCCAACGCCCCUAAGACAACACGCCUUAAUGUGAUUAAAUGCGUAACUAAAAUCAAUCACCAUCCCUAGACCGAGAUUCAACACAAGGCUCGUGUUGAAUCUAAUCAAAGGUUCAUAGUCAUCCUAAGGCCCUAAGGCAACUAUAUAGUCCAUCAAAUGAAUGCAAAAGGUUAUGUUAGUAGUAUCAUAUACUCUUGCUUUAAAAACCGUUUUAUAAGCAUACUGGGAGUAUUAUAUACAACUAAAAACAAUCAUAUGGACCAAUAGUUGUAAUAGGACCAAAAUUGUUUUAAUAAGAUUAAAAUGAAUAUUUAUAUGUGAUGAGACCUAAAACCCUCAACCAAACCAUUAUUAAGUUGACAAGCGUGAGAGUGCUUUGAACACUCUUUCGUGGCCUUCCACCGUGGUAGGCUCCAAUCGUUUAUGACUUGUACUCAGGAGGAGUUUAUUUAAAACAUUUGAUGAGGUUAAGGUAGGCAACGAGUGUGGCCAACAUCGUAUCAUCGUGAGGUCAUACUUGAACCCCUAUCUAAACCGGCAUGGUGGGAAAGAACUUAACUAAGAGAAAUGGUGCCAACAUCGUAUCAUCGUGAGGUCAUACUUGAACCCCUAUCUAAACCGGCAUGGUGGGAAAGAACUUAACUAAGAGAAAUGGUGCCAACAUCGUAUCAUCAUGAGGCAUUGUUUUCUAGAGGCCAAAUAGAUGGGUACUUGCAAGAGAUGCAAAUGAGUAAGCGUACUCUCUCAUUAUUAUUAAUGCUAGCCAACAUCAUAU
rnacentral:lncRNA from 1 species